AACGAACGCUGGCGGCAGGCUUAACACAUGCAAGUCGAGCGCCCCGCAAGGGGAGCGGCAGACGGGUGAGUAACGCGUGGGAAUCUACCCAUCUCUACGGAAUAACGCAUGGAAACGUGUGCUAAUACCGUAUACGUCCUUCGGGAGAAAGAUUUAUCGGAGACGGAUGAGCCCGCGUUGGAUUAGCUAGUUGGUGGGGUAAAGGCCUACCAAGGCGACGAUCCAUAGCUGGUCUGAGAGGAUGAUCAGCCACACUGGGACUGAGACACGGCCCAGACGCCUACGGUAGGCAGCAGUGGGUAAUAUUGGACAAUGUGCGCAAGCCUGAUCCAGCCAUGCCGCGUGAAUGAUGAAGGCCCUAGGGUUGUAAAGCUCUUUCACCGGUGAAGAUAAUGACGGUAACCGGAGAAGAAGCCCCGGCUAACUUCGUGCCAGCCGCCGCGGUAAAAC
rnacentral:rRNA from 1 species